GCAUUGUGUUUCAUUGCGCUGCGUUGUGUUGUGCUGUGCUGCGUUGUGUUGCCUUGCGUUGCGUUGUGUUGCAUUGCGCUGUGUUGUGUGCAGUCGGGUGCCGGCUCUGCUGCCACCGAUGGAUCAAAGAUCAAAGAGGCACGAGGAAACGACUGGAACGACUGGAAGACGGAGUCUGGAGGCAUUAAUGGAUAAAUCAUGGAUGAAGCGCUGAAACAAGCUAAUGCAAAGUACAGCACAUGAAAAAUGGAGAGCUUGGAAAGAAAGUGUGUGGAUUUUAAUAGUAAAGUCACUGCGAAAUUUAGAGACGAAUCGCUGAAAGGAGAGAAGUGAGCUUCGUUCUCACGUUUCCUGUUGGACUGAGACGUAAUAAUGUGCUGAAGCCGUUCAGUCAGCCUGUUUUACCCCGUGCCCCUUCCUCCACCAACACAGGCUCAUUUCACCCACAGACCUCCAAACUGGGACCAAACUGGGACCAAACUGGGACCAUGUGAAGCACUGGGUUUCUGUCACUUCAAGCGGAGCCUGUUUGAUCUGAGCAGCAGCCGAGGCUCCGUUACAGAACCCGACUUCAGUCCAGCCGACGCACGUGAACGAGGCGACGUUUGUCUGCGCUGCGUGUGUGUUUGUGUGUGUUUGUGUGCGUUUGUGUGUGUUUGUGUGUGUUUGUGUGCGUUUGUGUGUACGGCCCGUUGCGGGUCCGCGCUGGCAUUCUGCUGGUAUUUGCAGAGGUCAGGCAUAAUGAGCUCAGCCUGCUGAAGGCGGAGCACGCGUCCGGCGUGACGGUGUGAGUGAGCGGAUCUCCACCCGUGACGACGUCGCGUCGACGCUUUUCCAGUUCAGGUGCAAAGGUUUGAGUCGGGACCACGUUUGUCAGCGUCCAUCAACAGUGAUCCGGGGAGGAAUCCAUCACAGUCGCCAGUGGAGGAGAUCCACGGUGACAGAGGCUCCGAGUCCUGGGACAGACUCUCAUCAGAUCAGCAUCCAGAGCUUCUGCCUGGGUUCAGAUCUGGAUUUACUGUCUCCAACUCCAGCCGUGCACUGGGGCCACUUUAUUAGGGACACCUGUCAUUCACACAGACCUUUGGUUCGUCCUCACAUUAAACCAGAAGAAUCAUUCAGUACUGAGCGUCUGCCAGUCUCAUCGUCUCCAUUGAGUCCAAACACUGAUCAAGUCCAACAAACUGUGCAACCACCGCUCCGCUGCUGUUACUGAUGUACAAACAGCGCGCGUGCACGUGCGCGUGCACGUUGCAGACGGCCGGGGGCUCCAGCAGCCAGUGGCGGCGUCAGGAAGCAUCUCAUCAGGGACGGAGCAGAAGCAGAAGGAGGGAGUGGAGCAAACAGCAGCGCUUCAGUGGAGCCUCUGUUGGUGUCGCUUCGCUCCUCGCAGACGUCACCUUCAUGAGGUUCAAUACGCUGCCGCACGCCUUCUGUGCAGCGUUGUGCCAGUGCUCGGCUCUGUUUGCUGAGUGAGAGGCCGUGGACACACACUGUUUAAAAUUGUAAAUGUCUCCUGUUUGUUUCCAGUGAAGUAACAACAUGAGGCUCAGCUUCGUGCCCGUGGCCACGAUUUCAGUUUUUAGGGAAGUGAAGCAGAACACAGCGGAGCUCUUUGUGUGUGUGUGUGUGUGUGUGUGUGUGUGUGUGUGUGUGUGUGUGUGUGUGUGUGUGUGUGUGUGUGUGUGUGUGUGUGUGUGUGUGUGUGUGUGUGUGCGUGUGUGUGACCGAGCCCUUCAACUUUUUAACUUUGCACUGGGUCUAAGCAGCAGAGGGGGGGGCGAGGUGGUGCAACAACAGAGCUGAGAGGAUGAGACAGGAAGGUGGGGGAAGAGGCAGGAGACACAUGGCUCGGAGGCGGAGGGAGACAGAGCAGCGGGAGGCGAUGGAGGCCGGGAGGACGCGGGGUUAGUGGAUGCGGAGCGUCUGAGAGUAACGAGGGCUGAAGGAGAGAAGGAGGAAUGUUUCAUGGCUGCUUGUUUCUGGUCUCACCUUUGUCUCUGCACCUCCAGCUGAUGGAGCAGCGAUGCUCGCUGUACGUUUCUCCUCCAUUUAUUAUAAAUGGCGCCGCAGACGCUCACGCUCCCGUCGUCGGGGGCCGCGUGGGUGCGUCGUCCCACCGCUAACCGCUCCUGCAGCUUAUUACAGAGUCAGACAGUCACCGUAGCUGGCAGCUUUACAUUAUUCAGGCCGCGCCGACAUUAUAGGACAUCAAGACGUUAAGCGCUGCCACGAUCCUGUUGUUCAGACUGGAGACUCAGAGCCAGUUCAGUGCUGUUUGGUUCAGAACCGCGGCCUUUAGUCCGUUCUCUGUUCAUGCUCACGUCCGUUUGCCUCGUUUUCCAUGUGUCAUCCUUGUUUUCUCCUGCCGUCAGUCCCACUGUCAGUAUGUGUGUGUGUGUGUGUGUGUGUGUGUGUGUGUGUGUGUGUGUGUGUGUAGGUGUGUGUGUGUGUGUGUGUGUGUGUGUGUGUGUGUGUGUGUGUGUGUGUGUGUGUGUGGUGCAUUGGAACCCUGAGGGGACGUGUGUCCUUCCAACGAAAGGAGAAACGUGCGAUCCCGCGAUCAGGCACAAGGUAACGCACAAGACACAACUUCACGGGAGCGAAUCAAACGCACCUGUGUACAAACACACACUCCCUGGAGACGAGCACGCUAAGCUGUUGACUUGCACUGUCACACAAAGACAGAUGAAGGUGAUAAAGUGGCCGACAUCACCACCCGUCACUUUCUGUUUCCUGUCCACUCCUCCACACACACACACACACACACACACACACACACACACACACACACACACACACACACACACACACACACACACACACACACACACACAGGGUCACCUCAGUUCCUUUUCUCCUCUCACACCCUGAUGAGCUGCCAUUGAGCCUGAACUGGUUCAGGUCCCAUUUGUUGCUGAACUCAAAUGUUCAUUCUUGAUCUUCACUUUAAAAACACGACUGUGGUCCGCGUGUUUGUGCUGGAGUUGCCUCCGUAAACUUGGCUAUGCAACAUUAAUUUAGGCCAAACCCCGUCUAUGUAUUAUGCAUCACUCCAUUUCUUGUUCCACACAGAUUGAGCGUGAUGAACGAAGGAAAUACGACAGAAUUCAGUGCAUAGAGGAGCUGAGACCGGUUCAGAGACUGUGGAGGAGAAUGAGCUUCAGUGUGUUUGUGGCACAGUUGCAUGAGAAAAUGUUGGUAAAUGUUCAGCUGCUUCUCUCCUCUCUCUGUUCAGCCUUAAUAAAUGAUCCUAGCUGUGCUAAUAGGAGCGCAGCACAUAACUGAGCUUUGGGGAAAAAACGCGUCACUGUUGGUGUUAAACAGACAAACGCACAUCAGAUGCAGAUUCAGCGUCCGGGAGGAGGAGGUCGCGACCCUCCACUAAAUAAGCAGGAAAUCAUCACUUGUGACCUACUUGGAGUGAAACACCAGCCUCUGCUGAGCCGCGCUGAUAAAAAUAACUCCGAGGGAAACACGCAGACACGCUCCCGCUCCGCGCGCACACAGGCUCUGCAUCCGGACGCACGGCCGGCGUGUGGGCGUGCACGAGGCACGUGCACGAGGCCCGUGCACGCGCGUCAAGAAUGGCAGUGUCACCGUCUUAUUAUUGUGUCAGCUGUGGUUUGCGUCUCCUCCUCUGUUGUUUUCCCUCCUGACCCUGACGUUGUCUCAUCUCCACUCUCAACAAAACAGCCUCUUAGACCUAUUUACAUAGAGGUCUGCAGGAAACCCACCCGUACCCACAAACGGCUGGAGUGCAGAGUCGGCCAUCGCCUAGAGCUGGUUAGUGAGCUGUUUGAAGAGGCAAAUGAGCCGAUACAAAGGCCAGCGCUCCAACAAGGACGUGGAGUCAGAGAGAAGUCUCGCUGACGCUGCUCCUCCACCUUUCUCCCUCUCUCCAUCGCUCCUUUGUUCCACUGGUUUGUGCCUUUGGGGCGACGGAGACCUGCAGGACAGGAAGGAAAAGACGCUGGCUCCUUCACAAUAAAAGCACGGCACAGGUGAUACAUGAGACAGAUGGAAGGAUGCAAUAGUAGGAAGGAGACUUUUCUUUUGCUGGUGGGAAAUUAAAUUGCUCUGCGUGGAAAACAAUCCAACAACUAACCAGCAACAACAACAGCUACACUUCUUCAGGUUUACAGCAGUGAUAAAUGUCUCCAGAAUGAAUGGACGCUGAACUGAGUUGUGCUGCAGACGACACACUCUCAAAAUGCUGCAUUGAUGGUGGAACAGUCUACAAACACCGAUGGGAGAGAGGGAAUGAAGCGUAGAGGAGCUGAUCUGGAGGACGCCGGCGGUUCCUGUGCAGCUGAGUUGCAUCUGCAGCGCGGCCCGGUCCACACGCGGCCCGGUCCACACGCGGCCCACACGCGUCCGGCACCGGGCCACGUGCAGUUCGGUUCCUGGUUCCGGUUCCCGUCCACCCGCGGCCCGUCCAAAACGCAUUUGUUUGAAGCUGUGUGGAUCCGGUUCAUGCACACGCGCGCGCCCCAAGCUGCUUCGCUGCAGAUCGUGAUUCUCCCGGGAGUCAUCGCUGCAGAAGCUGCAAAUAUUGGAUCCAAACCUAAAGAGCUGCUGACGUACAGAUCAAAUGGAGCUGUCGCGUCUCAUCCAGGCAGAGGAA